UACAGAGGGUGCAAGCGUUAAUCGGAUUUACUGGGCGUAAAGCGCGCGUAGGUGGCCAAUUAAGUCAAAUGUGAAAUCCCCGAGCUUAACUUGGGAAUUGCAUUCGAUACUGGUUGGCUAGAGUAUGGGAGAGGAUGGUAGAAUUCCAGGUGUAGCGGUGAAAUGUGUAGAGAUCUGGAGGAAUACCGAUGGCGAAGGCAGCCAUCUGGCCUAAUACUGACACUGAGGUGCGAAAGCAUGGGGAGCAAACAGG
rnacentral:rRNA from 1 species